AGCAAUUGGGAUUUCCGCACGGAGUUGCUCCAACCGCCUAAUAAGGAUAAUGGUAUCGUCAUCAUCCCAGUGGGGAGACACAAAUUAGGUGUCUACACCAUGCAUCAAAUUUAACAAUUUAACGAUGACCGAUAAUAAGAACAUCAAUCCCUGAACAAUAAAUAAAAUGUAUUAACCUUUUUUUACAAUUUUGGACGCACCUCUCUAUGACUAGAACCGAAGUUCCCGAAUUAACGAUCAACAAUGGGUAAUGAUGAACGAUAACAAGAAAAUUCUCUUUGUUAAAACCGGGAUCAAGUUAAAAAUAGAAUUUCAUUCCGCUUUUUUUUAGCAGGGAAUUUAGUCCAAUUGAACCCAUAUUCAUUCAAUCAAUCCAUCUUAGUCCAAUCAAAUCCAAAUCAAUGUAACUUAUUAUAUUAAAAAUCAUCCUUGGCAUAUAUCCAAUCAUCCAAUGCAAUAAUGCCCCGGUUUUACUUAUUAAUAUUUAAUUAGAUGCUAAACACUUGUUUAGUUCAAUUCGAAGAAUCUAAGUGAUUGUAUGCAAGCCACAAACCCAAUUCUUAGAUCCCCAAUACAACAAAAUGAUUCAUGGACAAGUAAACUUGCAGAAUAAAGAGUGAGAAGAGAAACAAAAAUAAACCUUUACACAAUCCAUGAAGAUAUGGAAUGGAAGAGAAAGAAGAAAUGAAAUGGAAGAGAAACACAAAAACAAACAUAUGCACAAUCCAUGAAGACAUGAAAUGGAAGAGAAGGAAGAGAGAAAAAACAAGAAGCGAUGUCCCGAAGAGAGAGAAAGCAAGAACGGAAGAAACAAGGGAGGAAGGGUACAAAGAAGGAACAACAAAGACAGUUAAAAGAAGAGAAGAAUUAAAAUUGUAAAGAAAGCGAAAACAUACAAUGUUGCUGCCAAAAGGAUUCGACCCCCAUGUCACACCAAAAUCAAAUUCAAAAGCAACAUGAACAGUGUUUUUCAUUGACUUGUGACAAUCAAUUUGAUCCCCUUUCCUCUGUCUUUGAGUUGUCGAAAGCAAGAUUAGCUUCUCUGAUAAUUGUCUGGUUCAUUCCAUUCAUCGUCUCCUCGAAGUGACAGUUGUAGCAUGCGAAAGUUAAAUAGGUCGGAGGACAAUGGUGCGAAACCCCUUUUUAAAGCAUCUCCACAAUUAGGAUGCGGUGUCGGAGCAUUAUUAGUCUCACCCCUUGACGCGAAUUUGUUUUAGAGGUCAAGCAGUGUAACUGAAUUUUAAGGUGGAGGUAAAACGACGUUUAGCGCAGUUUGGUUAGCGUAGCUCAAUCUUGUUUAACAACCUAUAAGGGAAAAUGAGAUUGAAGGAAGGCAUUAUCAGAGAUGAUCGAGCUAUUCACUUGAAGAAAACGGAAAGACUGCAACAAGAAAUUGAGCAUUAGGAGGACAUUUUUCACUCACCAUACGAUGGUACGUAUAAGAUUACACCCUUCGAUAAACAUAUACAGUAAGCAUCUAUUCCCACUCAUGAUAUCAAAGGCAAAAAAGGGAAGUGCCAGUUACAUAUAACAGAAUGUGAAAGUACCAAAAAAAUGUUUCCGAAUAUAUCAGAGUUAGCUUUAGGAAACUUAAUCCACUUGAGCAUAGCUUCACUUGCCUUCCCUGGACUUUCUUCUGUUGACUUGGCUCUGCUAGUAAACAUCCUGUGAUUACAUCAGAGUUUAAAAAUUUGACAUAGACACGUGUCGAUAUUCUCCAUGGUUUGUUAUGAUAAUCAAUAUCGACAACAACGGAAAUUGAAAGUAGGAUUGAUUAACUUCAGCAGAUAUACCACGCACUGAUAAGAUGAGCAUUAAAGGUCUCAACAAAUUAGUCUCACAGUUCCUCAAUGGCUCACUGAAACAACUGAUAUAGAUAGCAAAAAACAAGUUGAUUAUCUGUACUCUUCCAUGUAAGCAUACUACAGUGUAGAAAUAUUAAGAGAAGAAUCCAGAGUGCCAGUAUACGUUGGACUCAAAAUCUAAGAGUGUCAAAGUCUAUCAAUAAAGUGAAGGUUCACAGAUCAUAAUCAAACAAGACUACUAAGAAAGUUUAAUUGUGCAGAAGGUUCCACAAAGAUAAUUGGAUAUUCUUGGUCUGAACACAACUGGAUUGCUGAUAAUGUCUAAAUGCACAGAUUCAACAAUUUUACCACCCAUUACAUAGGAACUGCACAAGACCCCGUGAAAGUUUAAUAGUUCAGAAGGUUAUAUUGCGGAAAGUGUGGAUAAAAUAACAAUUUCUACCUUAACGUUUUGAAAAUUGAGGAGCUUUGCGAGCUUUCUUGAGACCAGGUUUCUUCCUCUCCACUAUCCUGGAAUCUCUAGUCAGAAGACCCUCUUGUUUGAGAGGUGCUCUAUGACUUGCACUGACCUUCAACAAUGCCCUGGCAACACCAAGAGAUAUUGCUUGUGCUUGACCAGAAAGCCCACCACCAUGUGCUUUAACAAAGACGUCAUAGUUCGUUUCAUAACCCAAAGUAGCCAAGGGGGUUUUCACAUAUUGCAGCCACAGUGGGUUUCCUUGAAGAUAUUCCUGCACAGAGAUGCAAUUUAAGUCAUAUCUCACUCUCUCUACCUCUGCACUGGUCCAGACUAUUUAUUAAAAAAAAAAAACAAAAAAAAAAAA